CGGAACACGGAAAUGAUUAUUUUGAUUUAAAUCAGCUUAUAAAAUACAAAAUGCGAGGACAAAAGCUGGAAGCAUGUGGCUAAAAAAGGCAGUCCUUUUAAAGGACAAUAAAGAACUGU